UGGUGCUGGCUGGAUCUUUCCUGGAGCUCCCAAUGUCUGGACUUAAAAGAUGCCUAUGUCCAAGAUUCAUGCCAAACCAGCUGAAUGAGAAGCAUACUUAAAAAAGAAAUAACACCUCAAUUCAGGUCAAUAAAGGAUGUGAUGGUUUCAGAAAUAACAUUGAUCUCGUUACAGUCCUGGGUGCAUCCCAGUGAGUUGCAGCAGUGAAUGAGACAGUGCCCUUGAGUCCUCCCGCUAUUUCUGCUGGAGGGGAGAUGAGCUGAUGGAUUCUGCCUGUCCUUUGAAACCAGAGCCAGAGAGGUGGAAAAGGGGGGAAAAGAGUGGGAAGCAGAGACACAAAGACUUGAUGGGUUGAUAGAAAAGGAGAAUAGUACUCCCUUGUCUAAUAUCUGCUCUUUAUUCUGCAUCACAAUAAGUUGGGACUUUCCGACUGGACACAGUGGUGUUGAAAUCAAGGCUGAAAUUAGUUUUCAGCCAUUCAUUCAUAACUGUUAUGUUUAAAAAAGAAAAAAAAAGGGGGGAAGAGAAGGUGGGGAAACAAAAGUAAAUACAAAAAGAGAAAUGUUAACAUGUGUGGCUCAGAAUGCAUACAGCAGACAAAGCUCUGCUUGUUCUUUGACAAUGGCUCUGAAAAACAGGUGUCAUAGUAGCUGUACAAGGUUAAAGCACAGGGACCAUUAUGUACAAAAUGAGUGAGUCUUUAUCCAGAGUCUGCUUCAGCUCUUAAGGAUGUGCUUGCUAUUGUGCCAGUGUUUGCUGGAAGGACUCCAUCUAUACAAUGGAGAAAUUUUUCAUUCUCACCUUCCCCCAACCUCCAUUCCACCAUCCAAAUCUACAGUUAUGGAUAUAAUACAGACCUCUGGCAUUCAAGGUCCUCAUUGCCCUAUACUUUUGAAACAAAAGCUAUUGUGCUGCACCAUGAAAGCCUGCCUGAGGCAGAAUAAAGCUGUUCAGCAGCGGACCCUGAGAGAAUAUUUGUGAGGCACUCUCUAAAGUUAAA